rnacentral:rRNA from 1 species
AUGGUUGGACCCCUUAAAGGGGGAAGCCAUAAGAAAAGAUAUCUGCUGGUGAUGAUGGAUAAAUUCACCAGGUGGAUAGAGGCUAAACCAGUCAAAGUGGCCGAGUCCGGACCGGUGAUAACAUUCAUAUCCGACGUUGUGCAUCGUUACGGUGUCCCACACAUCAUCAUCACCGACAACGGCUCCAAUUUCAUAGCCAAUGAGGUAAAAAUUUGGUGUGCUAAUCUGGGCAUUAAGCUUGAUUACGCCUCUGUCUACCACCCACAAACAAACGGUCAAGUCGAACGAGCCAAUGGUCUUAUUAUGAGCGGCAUCAAACCCAGACUAGUGCGGUCUUUGAAAGAAUCUGACAAGAACUGGGUUGAGGAGCUCGACUCCGUACUAUGGGGGUUGCGGACCACGCCCAACCGUACUACCGGAUACACAGCUUUCUUCAUGGUGUAUGGUGCAGAGGCUGUGUUGCCCUGCGGUAUUAUUCAUGACUCACCUCGAGUGUGUAUGUAUGAAGAGAGAGAAGCCGAGCUAGAUCGGCAGGACGCCUAG